rnacentral:rRNA from 1 species
UACGUAGGGGGCAAGCGUUGUCCGGAUUUAUUGGGCGUAAAGAGUGUGUAGGCGGUGCUCUAAGUCUGUCGUGAAAUCUCCCGGCUUAACCGGGAGGCUGCGGCGGAAACUGGUGUGCUAGAGGGUGGGAGAGGUAAGCGGAAUUCCUGGUGUAGCGGUGAAAUGCGUAGAUAUCAGGAGGAACACCUGCGGUGUAGACAGCUUACUGGACCACUUCUGACGCUGAGACACGAAAGCGUGGGUAGCAAACAGG